GUGAAAGGUAAGUUUUAUAGAAUUAUAGUGAGGCUAACUAUGUUGUAAGGGAGUAAAUAUUGGACAUCUAAGGUAUAACAUACAUAAGAUGAGUGUGACAAAAAUGCGGAUGUUAAAAUAGAUGUAUGGUAUUACGAUAAUGGAUAAAAUUAGGAAUGCUCACAAUGCAUGUAGCAUACAUUGGAAAUGAGAGAAAAUUGAUUGAGAUGAUUUGAUCAUAUUCAAUGUAGAGUAUUUAACACCCCAGUAUAGAAAUGUGAUAAGUUAAUGGUGGAAGGAGUGAGAAGGAAAAGGGGGACACCUAAAACGACGUGGAGGGAGCUAGUAUCAAAAGAUUUACAAUUU
rnacentral:misc_RNA from 1 species